rnacentral:rRNA from 1 species
GACGAACGCUGGCGGCGUGCUUAACACAUGCAAGUCGAACGGAGAGGCCCUGGCUUGGUGUGGUGCUUGAGUGGCGAACGGGUGAGUAACACGUGAGUAACCUGCCCUGGACUGUGGGAUAACUUCAGGAAACUGGGGCUAAUACCGGAUAGGAGCACCUGCUGCAUGGUGGGGGUUGGAAAGUUUCGGCGGUUGGGGAUGGACUCGCGGCUUAUCAGCUUGUUGGUGGGGUAGUGGCUUACCAAGGCUUUGACGGGUAGCCGGCCUGGGAGGGUGACCGGCCACAUUGGGACUGGGAUACGGCCCAGAGUCCUACGGGAGGCAGCAGUGGGGAAUAUUGCAAGAUGGGCGGAAGCCUGAUGCAGCAACGCCGCGUGCGGGAUGACGGCCUUAGGGUUGUAAACCGCUUUCGCGUGUGACGAAGCGUGAGUGACGGUAAUGGGUAAAGAAGCACCGGCUAACUACGUG